rnacentral:rRNA from 1 species
AGCGGCGGACGGGUUAGUAACGCGUGGGAAUAUGCCCAAAGGUACGGAAUAGCCUCUGGAAACGGAGAGUAAUACCGUAUGUGCCCUUCGGGGGAAAGAUUUAUCGCCUUUGGAUUAGCCCGCGUUAGAUUAGGUAGUUGGUGGGGUAAUGGCCUACCAAGCCUACGAUCUAUAGCUGGUUUUAGAGGAUGAUCAGCAACACUGGGACUGAGACACGGCCCAGACUCCUACGGGAGGCAGCAGUGGGGAAUCUUGGACAAUGGGGGCAACCCUGAUCCAGCCAUGCCGCGUGAGUGAAGAAGGCCCUAGGGUCGUAAAGCUCUUUCGCCUGUGAAGAUAAUGACGGUAGCAGGUAAAGAAACCCCGGCUAACUCCGUGCCAGCAGCCGCGGUAAUACGGAGGGGGUUAGCGU